UUCCUCACUCGGCCCCGCACAAGUGCUCUGCCUCUCGCGGGAGGCCCGCCCGGGCCCGGAGCCCGGCUGCCGGGGAACGCCUCACUCCGCCAUCUUUGCUCCUUCUCCGAUCCGCCACCCCCGGGGCGGGGACGCGGAAGGUCCCGCCCCACCUCUGAGUGCUGAUUGGACAGCACCUUGCUCGCGCGCUCUCCUUCCGUCGCAGAUUGGCUGGAAGGCCAUUCUAAAAAAGGAGGCGAGUGGAACUCCAGCAAAGUCACUAAGUGUCUUCUCCAUAUGGACAGAACUGAUUCUUCCUGCUUAGACCACAAGCAUGAUGUCUGUUGGCACAACAGCCAUCCUGAGGCUGUGAUACAUCAUAUGUGAAUUUAUACAAGAAAGCUGGGAUACUCAGGACUGUCAGGAAAAACAAGGCUUCUGAGUCCUUGUCCGGUAACCCUGACCAGUGAUCCACUUAUGUGGUGAUUUAGUAAAAUCUUUGGAACCCGUGGCCACAGAGGUGUGGAGGGUAUUGGAUCCUCUGCAGCUGUAGCUAUAGGCAGGCAGCUGUAAGAAGACUGAUGUGGGUGUCAGAAGAGAACUCAGGUCCUCUGCAAAAUCAGCAUGUGCUCUUAACCACUGAGCCAUCCCUCCAGCCCUAGUGCGGCAUGGUUCUCGGUCACGGUGCUACGGAAGGACAGCCGACUACAUCUCAGCAGAGCUUCCCAAUCAUGACCAUCAGAACUGCCUCUAGACCUUUGUCCCUGGGUGGACUUUAUCAGGUGACAGACCACCACAACCUGGGAUCAGCUUGUUUGCUGGGACAAAGUGGCCAUGCUCUGACCAGAUGAUAUCUACAAGAGAAGCUAAUUGCUCCUCAUUUUGGAUCACCUCCGUGACCUCCAGCACAAGCUGCCGGCUAAAAGCAGUUUAUAACUGCAGGUCUGUGCAAGUGAGUGCUGAUGCUCUCAGAAGCCAGAGGAAUUGGAUCCCCUGAAACUAGAGCUACAGUGGUUGUGAGCCCAUCCAACAAUGGGUGCUAGGAACCAAACUCGGGCCCUCUGGAAGAUGAGGGUGCAUUCAACCACUGAGCCAUCUUUUCCAUCCUGGUUUUACUUAUUUUUACACUAUUCUCUCUGUGUGUAGUAUGUAUAGUACGUGUAGUGUGUGCGAGAGUACAUGUACCCAUGCACACACAGGUAAAAGCCAGAGCAGGGCUUCAGGUGUCUUCCUCUAUCACCCUCCAACCAGCUGCCUUGAAACUGAGUCUCUUAAGAGAGAAUGGAAGCCCACUAAUUGGCUAGCCCAGCUGCUUGACCAGUGAGCUCCAGGUAUCUGACUCUCUCCACGUCCCAGUGCUGAAGUUACAGGCAUGCCUGCCUCUCCAUGAGGCUGGGGACUGGAACUGAGGUCCUGCUUGGAGAGCAAGCACCCUUACCCACUGGGCUCUGCGAUAGCCCUACGGGAGUUUUAAGUAUAUAUAAUGUUUAGUUCACUAGGUCAGUUUUUAGUGUUCAGAGUCUCACAUUUCAGAUUGGCUAAGAUGAGGAAUGAUCAAAUUAUAUUUCUUUUUGUAUUAACUUUAACAUAUCAAUUUAGAGUAUUUUAUAUUUAUAUAUUAUUUUAACGUUAUAUGCAUGAUAAAAUGUAAAUGGAACAAAACAAUAUACAAUGUAAUUUUCCUAACACCCAAGUCCCCAAUCUCCCAUGCUAAAACCAUGAAAUGAAUAGUUUACUGUGACCCUUACUGGGAAUUUCUUGUGUAUGUAUUUGUGUGUGUAUAGAGAGAUUUAUACAAUUUUUAAAUUAAGGCAUAUGUCACAAUCUAAUCCAACUCCUAAAAUUAAUAAAUGAAUUAUUAGAUCAUUAUUAUAGAAG